UCAGCAAAAUCGAGGUUGCUCUUUCUUCUCGAGAUGGAACUGGAGUAAGCCUCCUUGACGUCCGCCCUACAGGUUCCGAUCCACUUCCCACAAUUGUGGAUCCCGUAUACACCGUUAUCUAUGUCACGACAAGCUGCAUUAUUUUACGCGACGACAAGACAAUGUUCUUAGACAAUCCAAUUUUCUUUUUGUGGCAGCAUGAAAACGUCCAAAACAACGACACUGAUGACUGUCUGGAGGUAUAUGAAUACAUAUCAAGUCGCUGCGGUUUCGAUUCUCACGCUAAAUGCGAUGGCUGCUGUGAUAGUAUGCCUCAAGUAAUGCAUACUAUUAGCGGCAGUCAGUGUGGCUUUACACUAAGCAACGCAGA